rnacentral:rRNA from 1 species
GUCGAACGCUGGCGGCGUGCUUAACACAUGCAAGUCGAGCGGAGCGGCGCACGGGUGAGUAACGCGCGAGUAACUGCCCCCCUCUCUGGGAUAAAAGUUGGAAACGGCUGCUAAUACCGGAUAGUGGGGGAUGACUCGGGUCCUAUCAGCUGGUUGGUGGGGUAGUGGCCUCCCAAGGCGACGACGGGUAGCCGGCCUGAGAGGGCGACCGGCCACAUGGGGCUGUGGUACGGCCCAAACGCCAACGGGAGACAGCAGGGGGGAAUAUUGCACAAUGGGGGAAACCCUGAUGAAGCAGCGCCGCGUGCGGGAUGACGGCCUUCGGGUUGGAAACCGCUUUCAGCCAAGACGCGGUAGUGGCAGAAGAAGCACCGGCUAACUACGUGCCAGCAGCCGCGGUAAUAC